rnacentral:rRNA from 1 species
GGCGCAAGCGUUAUCCGGAAUUAUUGGGCGUAAAGAGCUCGUAGGCGGUUUGUCUCGUCUGCCGUGAAAGUCCGGGGGCUCAACCCCGGAUCUGCGGUGGGUACGGGCAGACUAGAGUGAAUGUAGGGGAGACUGGAAUUCCUGGUGUAGCGGUGAAAUGCGCAGAUAUCAGGAGGAACACCGAUGGCGAAGGCAGGUCUCUGGGCAUUAACUGACGCUGAGGAGCGAAAGCAUGGGGAGCGAACAGGAUUAGAUACCCUGGUAGUCCAUGACCGUAAACGUUGGGCACUAGUGUGGGGGACAUUCCACGUUUUCCGCGCCGUAGCUAACGCAUUAAGUGCCCCGCCUGGGGAGUAACGGCCGCAAGGCUAAAACUCAAAGGAAUUGACGGGGGCCCG